rnacentral:tRNA from 1 species
GCUAGCGUAGCUUAAGUAAAGCGUAACACUGAAGAUGUUAAGAUGGAUUCCCAAAAAUCCCGCAGGCA